UCUGUAAAAAAACAAACACUGGUAAUGUGAAUGACUUUACAAAAAGACACUUCUCCCAAGUAGCUGGGACCACAAGUGUGAGCCACCACAUCCAGCUAAUUUUUGUAUUUUUAAUAGAGAGAGUGUUUCACCAUGUUGGCCAGGUCUUGAACUUACGUGGCCUCAAGUAAUCUACUCAUCUCGUCCUCCCAAAGGAAAUGAAAUCCCACAUGCUGGGAUUUCAGGCAUGUGCCACCAUGCCUGGCCACAAAAAUCAAUUUCUAAAACCUUUUCAGUCUCAGGUAAAAGCUACAGUAAUCUACCAGCCACUUAAACUAUUAUUCCAAAGAAUCCUUUUACUUAGCACAUACUAUUAUGAUGUGCUCUAGGCUAGUUACAUAUUAAAGAGUGAAGAGGGCUGGGCAUGGUGGCUCACACCUGUAAUCCCAGCACUCUGGGAGGCUAAGGCUGCCAGAUCACUUGAGGUCAGGAGUUUGAGACCAGUCUGACCAACAUAGUGAUACCCCAUCUCUACUAAAAAAUACAAAAUUUAGCUGGGCAUGGUGAUCCGUAUCUGUAAUUCUAGCUACUCGGAGGCUAGGGUAGGAGAACUGCUUGAGCCUAGGAGGCGGAGGCUGCAGUAAGUGGAGAUCAUGUCACUGCACUCUAGCCUGGGCAACGAGUAAGACUGUCUCAAAAGAAACAGAAAACAAACCCCACAAAACCUGUAAAAUCAGUUCUCCAAAUGAAAGACGUAAGAAAUACUACUAUAAACUGCAUAGAGUAUCAGUGAUGAACAAAAUUGCUUCUUUUAACAAAAAGAGGUAAAUAUGAUGCCAUGGGUAUCCCUCAGACUUGGUGAAACAAGUUAUUAUUCCUAAUGAUGGGAAUAAGGAAUGGAAAAGUAUUCUUUGCUGAAAAGAAAGGUUUUUCAAAACAACUGGGGAUGAGCACAGUGGCUCAUGCCUAUAAUCCCAGCACUUUGGGAGGCCGAGGCGGGUGGAUCACGAGGUCAAGAGAUGGAGACCAUCCUGGUCAACAUGAUGAAACCCCCGUCUCUACUAAAAAUACAAAAAUUAGCUGGGCAUGGUGGCGCAUGCCUGUAAUCCCAGCUACUCAGGAGGCUGAGGCAGGAGAAUUGCCUGAACCCAGGAGGCGGAGGUUGCAGUGAGCCGAGAUUGCGCCAUUGCACUCCAGCCUGGGUAACGAGCGAAACUCCAUCUCAAAAAAAUAAAAUUAAAUAAAAUUAAAAAAUAAAUAAAAGGGUACUGGAUUUUUGUCAAAUGUUUUCUCUGUGUCUUGAGAUGAUAUGUUUUUUGUUCUGAUUCUAUUCAUAUGAUAUGUUAAACCAAUUUUGCAUUUCAGAGAUAAAUCCUACUUGGUCAUGGCAUAUAACACCUUUUAUAUGUUGUUGGAUUUAGUUUAAUAUUUUGUUGAGGAUAUUUUUUUGUCUAUACUCAGGAAGGAUACUGAUCUAUAGUUUCACAAUUGCCUUUUCAUUGGUGAGUUUAGGCCAUCUGUAAUCUUGGCUGAUCUUCCAGUUUAUUAUUUGCUAUUUAUUCUAUUUUUUUAAUUUUCUGUGUUCCUAUACCUGCAUUCUUCUAGAUUAUUUGAAGACUUUUCAAAAUUUCAUUUUAAUUUAUCUACUGUAUAUCUGACUAAAUUCUUUUGCAAAGUUUUAGUAGUUGCUCUAGGUCUAUAUAGAUACAUAGCUUUUUAUAGUCUGCAUAGAAUUAGUACUUUACCACCACUUCAGGUGGAAUGUAGAAAUCUUACCACCAUAUUAGAUAUGUUUCUUUCCCUCUUUAUGUUGUAAAUGUCUUAUCUGUUACCUCUGCAUAUGUUGAAAACCUCAUCAGAAUGUUGUAAUUUCUGUAUUCAGCCAUCAAAUAUAUUUUUGUUUUAUUUAUUUGGACAGUCUCGCUUAUUGAUUUCUUGAGACAGAGUCUCGCUCUGUUGCGCAGGCUGGAGUGCAAUGGCAUAAUCUUGGCUCACUGCAACCUCCGCCUCCUGGGUUCAAGCAGUUCUCUUGCCUCAGCCUCCCAAGUAGCUGGGAUUACAGGCGCAUGCCACCAUGCCCAGCUAAUUUUUUAAUAGAGACAGGCUUUCACCAUGUUGGCCAGGCUGGUCUCGAACUCCUGACCUCAGGUGAACCAGGUGCCUUGGCCUCCCAAAGUGUUGGGAUUAUAGACAUGAGCCACCGUGCCCAGCCAUCAAAUGUAUUUUAAAGUAGUGGUUCCUAACCAUUUUGGCACCAGGGACCAGUUUCAUGGAAGACAAUUUUUCCAUGGAUAGGGAAUCCGGGGAAUGGUUUUAGGACGAAACUGUUCCACCUCAGAUCAUCAGACAUUAGAUUCUCAUGAGGAACACCCAAACUAGACCCCUUGCAUGUGCAGUUCACAACAAGGUUCGCAUUCCUAUGAGAAUUCCUAUGAUGCUACUGAUUUGACAGGAGCCAGAGCUUGUGUGGCAAUGCUUGCUCACCUGAUACUCACCUCCUGCUGCGCAGCCUGGUUCCUAACAAGGUACCAGACCAUGGCCUGGGGCUUGGGGACCCCUGUUUGUUUUAAAGAAUUCAAUAGGAGAAGAACCAUCUAUUAUAUUUGCAGAUGUUUCUGUUGCUGUUUCUUCAUUCCUUAAGUUUCUUUCUGUCUUAAGAAUUUUCUUGGUUGUUUUAUAGGAGGUCUGCUGGCAAUGAUUUCCCUUAGUUUUCCUUCAUGAGAAUAUUUAUUUGACCUCCAAUUCUGAAAGAUGUUUUCAGUAGAUACAGAAUUUUGAUCAUUCUUUUCUUUUUUUUCAUUUUGGGUGCCACACCCUGGGAGAUAAUUCUUUUUUCUUUUAAUACUUUACAAAUGCUAUUCCAUUCUCUUCUAACCUGCAGAGUUUCUGAUGAGCACUCUGUAGUCACUGACACUGUUGUCUUGUGAGUUUUCUUUGUCUUUAGUUUUCAGCAGUUUGUUUAUGGUAAGUCUGGGCAAUUAUUUAUUUGCGUUUAUCCUGUUUUGGGUUUGCUGAGGUUUUUGAAUCUCUAGGUUUACAUAUUUCACCAAAUUUGGUAAUUUUUCAGCUAUUAUUUCUUCAAGUAUUUUUUCUUCACUAUACUUUUUUCCUCUCUUUCUGUGACUUCAAUGACAUAAAUGUUAGAUCUUUAGAUAUUGUCUCACAAUCUCUUUUCUGUGUUCAGACUGGAUAAUAUCCAUUGAAUAAACUUCAAAGUUGACCAACUGUUUUUUCUCUCAUUUCCAUUCUACUGUUGAACCCAUCCAGUGAGGUUUUAGCUCUGUUAACUAUAUUCUUCAGCUCUGUAAUCUCUAUUUCAUUCUCUUUAUGUCAUCUAUUUUUGGCUGACAGUUUAUACCUUUCAUUUCAGUAAAAUUCACUCUUACUUGUUGGAACAGUUUAAUAAUGGCUUCUUUAAAGUCCCUGUCACAUAAUUCCAACAUCUGUAUCAUCUAGGAGUUGGCUUCUGUUGACACUCUUUUCCCAUGCAAGUUAAGAUUUUUCCUUGUUCUUUGGUACCAAGUAAUUUUGGACCCUUUCAAUAUUAUGCUAUCAGACUCUGGGUCUCGUUUAAAUACUACAAAAAAUGUUUUAUAUUCUUGUUGCAUGUGCAUGUGUAUAUUUGAGACAGGGACUCACUCGUUGGAAUGCAUGGCAUGAUCAUGGCUCACUGAAGCCUCAACUUCCUGGGCUCAAGUGAUCCUCCCCGCUCAGCCUCCUGAGUAGCUGGGGCUAUAGAUGCACACUACCAUGCCUAGCUAACUUUUGUAUUUUUUUUUGUAGAGAUGGGAUCUCCUUAUGUUAUACAGAUUGGCUUCAAAUUCCUGGGCUCAAGCAGUCCUCCCACCUCGGCCUCCUGAAGUGCUAGGACUAGAGGCAUGAACCAUACCACACACCUAGCCCACAUUCUUGUUUUAGAAGUUAUAGAUCUGGUUGUGUCCAGGCCACGAGUUCUGACCACCCUUCUAUAGGUUGUGGUUCCAAUGUCAGUUCAGUUUCCAAAGUCUUUGCAAUGCUAUUCGUAGCAAUUAAGACAUGUGCACCAGGUAGUGGCCAGUCUAGAAUUUGGGCAGUGGUGAUCUAUCUUAUACAUAGUUAAGUUCUAAAAGUCUACAUAUGCUAGGGAAGCCCAUUUUUAUUCAUUUUGGUAAAAAUGUAUUAGUAGGUGCUGGAUUUAAUCAAAUAUUUUUUUCCCUAGCAUUUAUUGAGUUGAUGGUAUUGUUUCUGCCAAUUCUCACUUAUAGUGGUUUAUGUCCUUGCACGUUUGAUGAUUUUUGAGUGAAUUCAUAUUUGAUUUAUACUAAUCUUUAAGAAGUUUCUUUUCAGAUGUUCUAGCCUCUAUGAGAGACCCCCACUUAAUAAAGAAAUCUCAGGUUCAGAGUUCCUUCCUGUAGCUGACUUUUGAAAAUAAUGAGUGGACCGUGUUAUCAAGCUUGCUUCUGUUCCCCAUUUUGGUUUUAAUGCAUGUAUUUGCAUGUAUAUGGUUUUUGUAUCUAUUGAGGGAAUGAGAUAAGAGAUUAUCAUUAUUUUCUGUAAAUGCACAACGCAUUAAUAAAUAUUCUAUCCAGGAGCUCACUGUUCUGUACUGGAAGAGUCCACUAAGAAUUAAACUUCUUUUUUUUUUUUUUUGUAUUUUUUUUGGUGACUACCUCUAAAAGUCUAAGGUUAAGUCUAAAAGUAAGCAACAUAAGACUCCAACAGACAAUUCCUGUCUGGUAUAUUUCCUUCCACUGUUGAAAACCACCCAAAUUGGCCAGGUGUGUUGCCUAGAAUCCCAGCAGUUUGAGAGGCUUAGGUUGGAGGAUUGCUUGAAUCCAGGAGUUUGACACCAGCCUAUGCAAUAAAGUGAGAUCCGGUCUCUACAAAAAUUAAAUAUUAGCCAGGCACAGUGGUGUACAUCUGUAUUCCCAGCUACUUGGGAGUUUGAGGCAGGAGGACCACUUGAGCCCAGGAGGCUGAAGCUGCAAUGAGCCAUGACUGCAUCACUGCACUCUAACCUGGGUGAUGGAGUGAGACCCUGUCUCAAAAAAACUCCACAAAACUGCCCAAAUUAAUUGUUAUUACUAUUGUUCUAAAAAGCCAAUGCUAACUGAAAUGAAUUGCCUUUUUCACCAUUGUUUCUUACAUUCAUAUUCCUUCUAUUUUCUUCUUCCUCAAGUAUACACUUAAGUAGUUUCUUCUAUUUUUCAAGAUGGAGUCCCUUCUAUCACCCAGGCUGGAGUGCAGCAGCACUCGGCUCACUGCAGCCUCUGCCCCCCAGGUUCAAGUGAUUCUCGUGCCUCAGCCUCCCAGGUAACUGGGACAACAGGAAUGUGCCACCAUGCCCAGCUAAUUUUUGUAUUUUUAGUAGAGAUGGGGUUUCACCACGUUGGCCAGACUGGUUUCAAACUCCUGACCUCAAGUGAUCCACUGGCCUCAGCCUCCCAAAGUGCUGGGAUUACAGGUAUAAGUCACUGUGCUGAGUCCUCUUGUUUCUUAAAUCAGUUUGAAAAUGAUUAUUAUUUCACCAUCAUUUUUGAAAGACUGUUCAGGUGGGGCACAGAAUUUCAGGUCAAAAGUUACUUUUUCUUUCUUUCUUUUUUUUGAGACAGAGUCUCGCUCUUGUUACCCAGGCUGGAGUGCAAUGGCACGAUCUCGGCUCAUCGCAACCUCCGCCUCCUGGGUUCAGGCAAUUCUCCUGCCUCAGCCUCCUGAGUAGCUGGGAUUACAGGCAUGCGCCACCACACCCAGCUAAUUUUUUUUGUAUUUUUAGUAGAAACAGGGUUUCACCAUGUUGACCAGGAUGGUCUCCAUCUCUUGACCUCGUGAUCCACCCGCCUCGGCCUCCCAAAGUGCUGGGAUUACAGACAUGAGCCACCACGCCUGGCCUCUCUUUCAAUUAAAUAUUGGAGUACAAUUAAAUAUGAGUACAAUGUCUCAUGCCUAUAAUCCUAACACUUUGGGAUGCUGAGAUGGGUGGAUCACUUGAGCCCAAGAGUUUGAGACCAGACUGGUCAACAUAGUGAGAUUCCAUCUCUACCAAAACUUUAAAAAACAUUAGGUGGGCAUCGUGGCAUAUCCCUAUAGUUCCAGGUACUCAGGAAGUUGAGGAGCUAAACCGAGGAGGUUGAGGCUGCAGCGAGCUGUGAUCACACCAAUGCCUCCAGCCUGGGCAAGAGGAUAAGACUCCGUCUCCAAAAAUUUAUGUAAUAAUUUAAAAACAAAAAUAAAGAUUUUAGUUCAUUGUCUUAUGCUGCACUUCAAAAAUCUGUUUUCAGCCUAUUGGUCUUUCCUUUUUAGGUAAUUAGUCUUUUCUCUUGGAAGCUUUUAGCUUUCAUUAUCCCUGGUAUUCUCCAGUUUUACCUCACAACAUACAUCUAGAUGUAGGUUUCUAUUAAUUUAUCUUGUUUGGGACUUUGCUUUCUUAUGCUGAGAAAUUCACAUCCUGGAAAUUACAGUCAUUGUUAUUUUCUCUGCUGGGGAGAUCAGAAGCUGGAAGUGCCCUUCCUUCCUUUUAUGUAUGUAGGUUGUGUAUUGGACUUUCUCAUUCUGUCUUCUGUCUCUCUUCUAUUUGUCUUGCUGUGUUCCAUUCUAGGUAAUCUACUCAGAGCUGUAUCCUCCAGUUCUCUAACUUUAUCUUCAAUUAUGGAUAUUAACCUCUUAUCAGACAUACCAGAAGAUGAGACGAAGCUAGAGGAAGAAUUAAUGAACUGAAACACAGGCAAGAAAUUAUUGGAACUGCAGCACAGAAAGACAAACAGAUGGAGAACAGAUGAGAGAGAUUAAAAAAUGUGGGGGACAGACUGAGAGGGACAAAGAAGAUGUUGGAGGCAAAAUGUGAAGACAUAAGACUGAAAAUAUAGAUGUAAUGAUAUACACCAAUCUAUCAAUUCAAUAAGUUACUAGACUCCCAUGUGGAAGCUGCAAAACCAAAAAAAAGCCCUAGAAUUCCAUACCUCGUGAAAAUACCCUUUAAGAAUGAAGUCGGGGGUGGGUGAGGUGGCUUACACCUAUAAUCCCAGCACUUUAGGCGGCUGAGGUUGAGCACUUUAGGAUCCUGCCUUCAAAUGAUCCUACCGGGUGAGCAACAUAACAAAACCCCAUCUAUAUUUUAAAAAAUAUAAAAAUUAGCCAAGUGUGGUGGUACACACCUGUAGUCCUAGCUACUCAGGAGGCUGAGAUGGGAAGUUCAAUUGAGUCCAGGAGGUAGAGGCUAACAAGCUAUGAUCGCACCACUGCACUUCAGCCUUGGUGACAGGGAGACACCCAUCUCUAAAAACAUUUUUAAAAAUAAGGAAAGAAGAAUAAAAUGGGAGGAAUCAACCCUCUUGAUUUUAAGUUUUAUUAUACAUAGCUACAGUAUUCAAGACAGUGUGAUACUGAUAGAGGGACAGAAACCUAGAUCAAUGGAACACAUCAGACAACUGUAGAAAUAGACAAACAGGCCAUGAAUGGCAGCUCACACCUGUAAUCCCAGCACUUUGGGAGGCUAACAGGGGAGGAAUGUUUGAGCCCGGGAGUUCAAGACUAUCCUGGCUAACACAGUGAAACCCUGUCUCUACUAAAAUUACAAAAAUUAGCUGGGCAUGAUGGCACAUACCUGUAAUCCCAGCUACUCAGGAGGCUGAGGCAGAAGAACUGCUUGAACCAGGGAGUUGGAGGUUGCAGUGAGCCCAGAUCAUGCCACUGCACUCCAGCCUGGUGACAGAGCAAGUCUACGUCUCAAAAAAAAUUAAAAAACAAAAAACAAAAACAACUUCCGGGGCCGGAUGCGGUGGCUCAUGCCUGUAAUCCCAGCACUUUGGGAGUCCAAGGCGGGUGGAUCACGAGAUCAAGAGAUCAAGACCAUCCUAGUCAACAUGGUGAAACCCCAUCUCUACUAAAAAUACAAAAAAUUAGCUGGGCACAGUGGCGCAUGCCUGUAAUCCCAGCUACUCAGGAGGCUGAGGCAGGAGAAUUGCCUGAACCCAGGAGGCAGAGGUUGUGGUGAGCCGAGAUCGCGCCAUUGCACUCCAGCCUGGGUAACAAGAGCGAAACUCAGUCUCAAAAAAAAACUUCCUUUAUUAAAAAGCAAAACCCAGACAAUCAAGAAUUCCAAGACAUGACAGUGAGAUCCUAUCUUUAAAAAAAUAGCUGGGCGCAGUGGCUCAGGCCUGUAAUCCUAGCACUUUGGGAGACCAAGGUGGGUGGAUCACCUGAGGUCAGGAGUUCAAGACCAUCCUGGCCAUCAUGGUGAAAUCCCAUUUUUAAAAAAUAAGAGAAAGACUGGCUAUGAAAUAAAUAUAUUUACUCAUCUUAUUUGACCUAUCAGCCACAUUUUACAGAGCUGACCCUCAGUAGUCCCAUGUAGUCACAACUUUAAUCAUGCUAUACCUAUGUUAAAGAGAUACUGUUCCACAGUUCUUGGAUGCUCUAUUUUUCUUCCCACCCUUUCCUUUUUUCUUUGUUUUCAUUGUGGGUAAUGUCUACUGACCUAUCUUCAAGUUCACUGAUUCUUUUCUUAGCUGUGUCAAGUCUACUAAUAAACACAAACACAUACUUCACCUGUCACCUUUUUUUUUUUUUUUUUUUUGAGACAAGGCCUCACUCUGACACCCAGGCUGGAGUGCAGUGGUGUAAUGCUGGCUCACUGCAACCUCUGCCCACUGGGCUCAAGCAAUCCUACCACCUCAGCCUUGCAAGUAACUGGGGCUGCAGGGUGUAUACUACCAUGCCUGGCUAUUUUUUGUGUGUGUUUAUUUUUAGUAGAAAUGAGGGCCUGUCAUGUUGCCCAGGUUGGUCUUGAACUCCUAAGCUCAAGCCAUCUGCCUGCCUUGGCCUCCCAAAGUUCUCAGAUUAUAGGUGUGAGCCACCACACCUGGCCACCAUUUUUAUUUCUAACAUUUCCACUUGACUAUUCAUAUAGUUUCCUCUGCUGAAAUUCUCCAGCUAGCCACACAUGUUUUCUACUUUUCCUGCUGGAGCCUUGAACAUACUAUUCAUUGUUAUUUGAAAUUCACUCUCUGUAUAACUCGCUCAAGACAGUAAUUAAAAAAAAAAAAUUCACUCUCUGAU